rnacentral:rRNA from 1 species
AGAUUGAACGCUGGCGGCAGGCCUAACACAUGCAAGUCGAGCGGUAGAGAGGUGCUUGCACCUCUUGAGAGCGGCGGACGGGUGAGUAAUGCCUAGGAAUCUGCCUAGUGGUGGGGGAUAACGUUCGGAAACGGACGCUAAUACCGCAUACGUCCUACGGGAGAAAGCGGGGGACCUUCGGGCCUCGCGCCAUUAGAUGAGCCUAGGUCGGAUUAGCUAGUUGGUGAGGUAAUGGCUCACCAAGGCGACGAUCCGUAACUGGUCUGAGAGGAUGAUCAGUCACACUGGAACUGAGACACGGUCCAGACUCUACGGGAGCAGCAGUGGGAAUAUGGACAAUGGGCAAAGCCUGAUCCAGCCAUGCCGCGUGUGUAGAACGAAGGUCUUCGGAAUUGUAAAGCUAACGUUUAAGGUUGGGAGGUAAAGGGUUUGUAACUUUAAGUACGUUGACUAACGUUUGAACGUCUACGAACUAGAACUAAGCCUACCGGCUUAACUCGACGACCAGACCAGCCGUACG